CGUAGUGACCUGCGGAGGAUCAUUAUC
rnacentral:rRNA from 1 species